UUAAGUUAGAAAGGGCGCACGGUGGAUGCCUUGGCACUAGGAGCCGAUGAAGGACGGGACGAACACCGAUAUGCUUCGGGGAGCUGUAAGCAAGCUUUGAUCCGGAGAUUUCCGAAUGGGGAAACCCACUGCUCGUAAUGGAGCAGUAUCCAUAUCUGAAUUCAUAGGAUAUGAGAAGGCAGACCCGGGGAAAUGAAACAUCUAAGUACCCGGAGGAAGAGAAAGCAAAUGCGAUUCCCUGAGUAGCGGCGAGCGAAACGGGAACAGCCCAAACCAAGAGGCUUGCCUCUUGGGGUUGUAGGACACUCUGUACGGAGUUACAAAAGAACGAGGUAGAUGAAGAGGUCUGGAAAGGCCCGCCAUAGGAGGUAACAGCCCUGUAGUCAAAACUUCGUUCUCUCCUGAGUGGAUCCUGAGUACGGCGGAACACGUGAAAUUCCGUCGGAAUCCGGGAGGACCAUCUCCCAAGGCUAAAUACUCCCUAGUGACCGAUAGUGAACCAGUACCGUGAGGGAAAGGUGAAAAGCACCCCGGAAGGGGAGUGAAAGAGAUCCUGAAACCGUGUGCCUACAAGUAGUCAGAGCCCGUUAACGGGUGAUGGCGUGCCUUUUGUAGAAUGAACCGGCGAGUUACGAUCCCGUGCAAGGUUAAGUUUGAAAAGACGGAGCCGCAGCGAAAGCGAGUCUGAAUAGGGCGCAUGAGUACGUGGUCGUAGACCCGAAACCAGGUGAUCUACCCAUGUCCAGGGUGAAGUUCAGGUAACACUGAAUGGAGGCCCGAACCCACGCACGUUGAAAAGUGCGGGGAUGAGGUGUGGGUAGGGGUGAAAUGCCAAUCGAACCUGGAGAUAGCUGGUUCUCUCCGAAAUAGCUUUAGGGCUAGCCUCAAGGUAAGAGUCUUGGAGGUAGAGCACUGAUUGGACUAGGGGCCCCUACCGGGUUACCGAAUUCAGUCAAACUCCGAAUGCCAAAGACUUAUCCUUGGGAGUCAGACUGCGAGUGAUAAGAUCCGUAGUCGAAAGGGAAACAGCCCAGACCGCCAGCUAAGGUCCCAAAGUAUACGUUAAGUGGAAAAGGAUGUGGAGUUGCUUAGACAACCAGGAUGUUGGCUUAGAAGCAGCCACCAUUUAAAGAGUGCGUAAUAGCUCACUGGUCGAGUGACUCUGCGCCGAAAAUGUACCGGGGCUAAACGUAUCACCGAAGCUGCGGACUGUUCUUGCGAACAGUGGUAGGAGAGCGUUCUAAGGGCUGUGAAGCGAGACCGGAAGGACUCGUGGAGCGCUUAGAAGUGAGAAUGCCGGUAUGAGUAGCGAAAGAGGGGUGAGAAUCCCCUCCACCGAAUGCCUAAGGUUUCCUGAGGAAGGCUCGUCCGCUCAGGGUUAGUCGGACCUAAGCCGAGGCCGAAAGGCGUAGGCGAUGGACAACAGGUUGAUAUUCCUGUACCACCUCCUCACCAUUGAGCAAUGGGGGACGCAGGAGGAUAGGGUAAGCGCGGUAUGGAUAUCCGCGUCCAAGCAGUUAGGCUGGGAAAUAGGUAAAUCCGUUUCCGUAAGGCUGACUGUGAUGGCGAGCGAAAUAUAGUAGCGAAGUUCCUGAUUCCACACUGCCAAGAAAAGCCUCUAGCGAGUGAGAGGUGCCCGUACCGCAACCGACACAGGUAGGCGAGGAGAGAAUCCUAAGGUGAUCGAGAGAACUCUCGUUAAGGAACUCGGCAAAAUGACCCCGUAACUUCGGGAGAAGGGGUGCUCUGUUAGGGUGCAAGCCCGAGAGAGCCGCAGUGAAUAGGCCCAGGCGACUGUUUAGCAAAAACAGGUCUCUGCGAAGCCGUAAGGCGAAGUAUAGGGGCUGACGCCUGCCCGGUGCUGGAAGGUUAAGAGGAGCGCUUAGCGUAAGCGAAGGUGCGAAUUGAAGCCCCAGUAAACGGCGGCCGUAACUAUAACGGUCCUAAGGUAGCGAAAUUCCUUGUCGGGUAAGUUCCGACCCGCACGAAAGGCGCAACGAUCUGGGCACUGUCUCAACGAGAGACUCGGUGAAAUUAUAGUACCUGUGAAGAUGCAGGUUACCCGCGACAGGACGGAAAGACCCCGUGGAGCUUUACUGCAGCCUGAUAUUGAAUGUUGGUACAGCUUGUACAGGAUAGGUAGGAGCCUUGGAAACCGGAGCGCCAGCUUCGGUGGAGGCAUCGGUGGGAUACUACCCUGGCUGUAUUGACCUUCUAACCCGCUGCCCUUAUCGGGCAGGGAGACAGUGUCAGGUGGGCAGUUUGACUGGGGCGGUCGCCUCCUAAAAGGUAACGGAGGCGCCCAAAGGUUCCCUCAGAAUGGUUGGAAAUCAUUCGCAGAGUGUAAAGGCACAAGGAGCUUGACUGCGAGACCUACAAGUCGAGCAGGGACGAAAGUCGGGCUUAGUGAUCCGGUGGUUCCGCAUGGAAGGGCCAUCGCUCAACGGAUAAAAGCUACCCCGGGGA
rnacentral:rRNA from 1 species